GCACGACUUCCCCCGGCCCGCGGCCUGUGAGCCCAGGUCCUGGGGUGAACCGAGCGCUCGCUCGUUCGUCAGACCGUAGCGCUCCAGCGGCUGUCCUUACUGUGUAGUAGCCAAAGCUGAGGGUGAUGACUGUGAACCAGAACAGACUGCCUCGCUGAAAAGUCACUUGGAACUCUUCUGUGGCAUCUGAAGCAGAUGGACGAAGCCAAGAGGGCCGAGAGUAUCUCAGCACCUAGAAAUGGACAAGGCUGGUUAUUAGAACAAAGAUUUCGCAGGUGAGGCAAGAAUCUGCAUCAAAGAGCCCUGGAAGCAAUCAUGGCUCAACUGUGAUGCCUUUAGAACAUGAAGUCCUCCAAGAAGAUGCCAUAGGAAUGGCCUCCAUCCCAGGGCCUGGAGAGCAGCCAGAGACAAGAAGAGUAGCCCAGGAGGGCACUGGCAGUCAGUGCUACACUGUGGCCUGUCAGUCUCAGAGCCAGGAUUUAAUCACUGGAUCUCCCAUUAACCAGUCAUAAUGAAGUAAGAACAAGAAGAUGGGGAAGAGGAAGUGUAAAACCGUGGCUUAAAUUUGCCAAGGAUAAGCUGAGUGUACUUCAGCAGUCAUUUGCACAGA
rnacentral:lncRNA from 1 species